ACAGCCACAUCAUGUUGAAACACCGGUUCCCAUACGAUUAAUGAAGUUAAGCAACAUUGAGACUAGUCAGUACCUAGAUGGGUGACUGUUUGGGAAUACCAGGUGCUGUAAG